CUUUGCCAAGAAAACCCCAAAUGGGGUCACAGAGAGAUGGAAGUAACUGAAACGACUGAACAACAACAUGCUUCUGAGGGAGAAUAAGUCUCAUCACCACUCACUAGUAUUCUUCAAAUGAUGCCAUCCAACCAAGAAGUGGAAUAUAACAACUGCCAAAGAAGAAGACUAUGGAGACAUGGUGUUUGAGUAUCCAGAGAUGAACUGCAUCAGGGUAUGGCCCCGUGAACUUUGAAAGUUCAGAAGAACCUUCAGAGAGUCAGCAACUGUAGUCAGCAAGAGAGGUCACUUGAGCCUAUAUCCCAAUAUUCCAAUAGCUGUGUCUGGUGAGGAAUCAACCCUGAGAAGUGACCUGCUUGACUCAGCCCUGUUGGAAGUCAACCCUGUAACCAAGAUACUACAUCCUGCAAGCAAGAAAGCAACUUGUCCGUGAAUGAUGGCACGUUUAGAAAAGAGCUUGGUGGAGACUCUGAAAAGAUACAGGAGCUUCAGGGCCAGGGGGUACCUUUCAGCGGGUGCAUCUUCUCCAUAGGACUUCUCCAAGACUGCUGUACUUCAAGUCUGAGCCCACCCAAUGUCCCAAUGGACAUCAUAUGUGUGUCUGUGGAGCAGGACACAGUGUGCCCACUCAUAUGGAAGGAUAUUUCUGUAAUCACUGUCUUUGAUAUACCUGCUUAGUAGACACCCCUUUCUAAAAGUUAA